rnacentral:ribozyme from 13 species
UAUGCUCAAUGCUUUCUCUUUCUUUUUGCUAUGCUAUCUCUUUCUCUUUCUCUUUCUCUUAUACAUGAAGUUUGCUCUUAUACAUACAUGAAGGUUUGCUCAACUAAUACAUUUAAAAGAGAUAGAG